AACAUGCGUGUCACGUGGCCUUUCAGAGAAACAUCCCAGAGGAGUGGUGGGGCCCUUCAGAUUGAAAGAGGAUGAUAUGCACAUGUGAUCCUGUAAACAGUGGAAAAGUAAUAAUAAGCCAUAUCAUAGUAUCCAUUUACUGGGCCUGCCCAUGGGAGCACAUGCAAUACACAAGGCAGCCUAGGGCCUGUGGGUAGAAGAAGAGAAGUGAUAUCUAUAAAGCUGGGAUGAAGCAAAUGAAUGAACUGGGAAAGAAGGAGCUGAAAGAUGACUUGGAGAUGGAAAGACAAAUUAACUCUUGGUUCAAAAUUGGAGAGGAAAGAGAUAUGUUUAGGUUCUGUUUAAACCAGCAAUUUCUGUAUUAUUCAGCCAUCCAAACUAGUAAGCCAGGGAAUGCUCUCCCAGCUCUUUGAACAGCAACAACUGUUCAAUUGUCACAUUAAUCUUUAUAUGACAUACCUUGUUUUGUGAGCUGUGAAUGAGGUUUGUAUUUAAAGCCCAGUGUAUUUUCAAGUUCUGUUCCUCAGUACUUUUUCCACUUGACGAUGAGCAUUUUCUGCCUGUUUUCUGUGAAACCCCCAUGGGAGUGGAGAGGCCUUUGUUCUUUCCACUAAUGAAUCUGAAUUAUUGAUUAGUCACUCUAAUCUGUGGAAACGACUAUCAGUUAGUGCUGUCUCGUUUGUUUUUAUUUUGUAUUUUGCAUUUAUUUAUAUUUUUACCAAGUCUAAAUUAGUACCUUAGAUUUGGUAAAGAGAAUUAGAAGAAAUUUGACAAGCAUCUUCACUGGGAGACAUGCAAACUUAGAACAGAGAGAAGUAAUAUUUUCAACCAGUUUUCUCUCACUUGCAUAUACUUUACCAAAUCCCCAUGUUCUGCUGCAGACUUUGCUAGAAUUUUAGUUCUUUCAAAAAAUAUCAAUUGAACACUGAUUCGUAGAACAGGUUUUACUUUUGUGAGUAGACCUCCUUUGGUGCUGAAGCAGUGUGAACAACUGGGAUCUACACGCAGAAAAACAGAGGCAAUGUUUGGUAAUUCUCCAGGUCUUGUGUUACCAUAGAACUGUAGGCCUGUGAUGCCACAAAAAAGCAGAAGGCUAAGUUAACUGGAAUACAUAAAGAAAGUCAAAAAGGUCAAAAAUGAAGGAAAAAGUGAUCUGAGUCUAAAAUGCCAAGACAAGGCACAAAAUCCUCCCAUGCAUUCUCUUUGUCUGAAGCACAGGGCUGGUAAAUACAUGACUCCAAUGUAGCAGUGUGUUUAUUUGGCCUGAUGAAUAAGGCGCCUUGUACACUGCAGUGAAACAAUCCAUGUAAAUAAGCAAAAGACUAAAAGUCACAUAAGCAUCCAUUUAGAGUUGAAGUAAGGCAAAAAAGAACAAUAUUAUCUCAGUGCAAAGUAAUGAUGAUGGACUUGAAACAGGGAAACUUGGGAAACGGAGCUUUCAGAUGUCAGACAUUCAAUAGACACUAAAAGAAUGUCAGGCACAUAACACAAACAAGGGAAAAUUCAGUUCUUCCAUCAGCUAGAUUAUGAAAAAAAACUUUUAAAGUGGACUGAUAAAAGAAACCCUGGUGCUUCAAAUUUGGUGUAUUUUUUUUUUUAUUACUGUGAUUAUUAAAACCGAGAUACUAUCAAGAUUUUUUCCAUGAAUCCCUGAGAAUUCAUCACAUCCAAACUGCAGUUCUAUAAUUCAAGGAGGACAAGAGAAAAAGGCUUUGCAACUGUCAGCAUUAACAAGUUAGAAGUACACCAACAAGAUGCACAGCAAAUAAAAAUCCCCUGGAGAAUGUAGUAAAGGUUAGUGCAGUUGGGAUGAAUAGAUACAGAUAAUCCUUGGUAGCUGCAAGCAGCCUCUUAAGGGAGAGUUUUUUCAGAAGAGACCUAAUCUCAACCCAUAUACGGGAGCAAUACUGCUAAGACGAACCAUAUUUUAGCAGAUUCUAUGUUAUUUAGUUUCAAAGUAAAAGGGCAAACCCUCAAAUUGCUGUUUAGAAUGAUUGAUUUAACAUGAAAAGUAAAUCCCCUGACAUUUGGGCCUCCUAUACAUUCUGCUGUACAGCACAAAAGCACCUUCAGUUCUUCUCCUUGAACUGACUCUAUUCAAUACUGCAAGUCAUAGCUGGAGGUGCAAGCAGCUUAAAUAACAUGUAUUUCAAGAAUAUAUUCUCCAGUUGAGAGGCAAUGACUGGCACGUCUCUUUGAAACAAUGUAUGCAAGUUUAAAUUAAGAAAGCAGAUUUUGAAGGUAUUUGCCAAUAAGAAAAACCGGACAAGAAGGAAAAGGAAAAAUGCCCAUCAGCAUGUGACUUAAAUGACCUGACAUGAAAAGGAAGCUUUUUUUCAUGGCAUAACAAAAAUAAUUUAAAAUUUAAUGCUUACCUGCUUAAAUAAAUUAAUAAUU